rnacentral:lncRNA from 1 species
AACUUUUAAUUCAUCUCCGUUCUUCUUUUUCUGGCAACCACUCAUAUAACUAUGUUCUAAAUAUCGAUAUAACGGGUACGUAAUUCAUCUCCGUUCUUCUUUUUCUGGCAAUACACGUUUCUUCGACAACUCGGUUUUGAGAUAAGUCCUUUUGGACUGCACAAGAUCUUAUGUUCUUCAAAAAAAAUUGUCUGCGCAUCCUUAAUCUUUGCAAGACUUUCUAAGCUAUAUUUCAUACACGCACAUUUUCAAAUUUGAUAUAGCAUCGCGUCGCGCGGAUAUGGAUACUUUUCUUCUUCUUUUUUUUAUAGGAAUAUAAAUUUAGUUUUCAACAAAAGUAUGUAAAAUCGUAAAAAGAAGAAGAUCAAGAAACAUAAUUAAAAGUUAGAGCAUGCGAUACUAUGAUCAAAAACAUAUCAUAAGAUGACGAAGGGGGAAUGCUAUGAUAAUUGGGGAGCUGAUUCUCUUUCUCUCUGUUUUAUCAAUCAAGCCAGUAAAAAGCGAUCUCGAGGUGUACAUCAGUAUAUGCGUGGGUGAAAACGGGUUUUAUAUGCUUAGCAAAAAAAAAAACAGAUCUUAUGUUCUCACCACAUUAGUAAAGUGGUGAUUUCAAUCCCUGGACUUGAAAGUGUGUUUGAUGUAUCCGGUGGUUGGUACAAAUAAUGAAGUAAAACCAGAAUUUCCAUAACGAUGAAUAUAGUGGCAUCACUAGCUAUUAAUAAGUUAAACAUAAAAUAACUUUCCAAAAAACUAAAUAAUGUACUAGACAGGGAAAAAAUAUGCAUCUAUAUCAUGUUUUACCACUCGUCGGAGUAUUAUAUUAACAUUUACUCAUUCUGUUUCAAAAUGAUUUAUAUAUUUUAAAUUUUGUUUAAAAAUAAUAUU